CUAAGGGCUUUUAUACCCUCCUGCUGCAGGAAAUUAGGCCUACUUCCCUCUUUUACCUCUCCUGCCCUGCAAUGAAGACAAGAGGCAGGAUGGCCAGUCCCCUUCUGCAAACAAAUAAACACUUUUCUCUGUUUUAACAUUCAAUAAAACAAUUAAUUAAUCUGUGUGGUCCUAUCUGCCAAUCAUUCCAAUAAUAUUUGCUAGACUUGUGGUGGUGAUGGAACCACCAGUCUCCGUCA